GGCGGACGGGUGAGUAACGCGUGGGAAUCUACCUAUGAGUGGGGAUAACUUGGUGAAAACCAAGCUAAUACCGCAUGUGGUCUACGGACUAAAGCAGGGGAUCUUCGGACCUUGCGCUAAUAGAUGAGCCCGCGUUAGAUUAGCUAGUUGGUGGGGUAAAGGCCUACCAAGGCGACGAUCUAUAGCUGGUCUGAGAGGACGAUCAGCCACACUGGGACUGAGACACGGCCCAG
rnacentral:rRNA from 1 species